AGGCAGCAGUGGGGAAUAUUGGACAAUGGGCGCAAGCCUGAUCCAGCCAUACCGCGUGGGUGAAGAAGGCCUUCGGGUUGUGAAGCCCUUUUGUUGGGAAAGAAAUCCAGCCGGUUAAUACCUGGUUGGGAUGACGGUACCCAAAGAAUAAGCACCGGCUAACUUCGUGCCAGCAGCCGCGGUAAUACGUAGGGCGCAAGCGUUGUCCGGAAUUAUUGGGCGUAAAGAGCUCGUAGGCGGCUUGUCACGUCGGUUGUGAAAGCCCGGGGCUUAACCCCGGGCCUGCAGUCGAUACGGGCAGGCUAGAGUUCGGUAGGGGAGAUCGGAAUUCCUGGUGUAGCGGUGAAAUGCGCAGAUAUCAGGAGGAACACCGGUGGCGAAGGCGGAUCUCUGGGCCGAUACUGACGCUGAGGAGCGAAAGCGUGGGGAGCGAACAGGAUUAAAUACCCUGGUAGUCCACGCCGUAAACGGUGGGCACUAGGUGUGGGCAACAUUCCACGUUGUCCGUGCCGCAGCUAACGCAUUAAGUGCCCCGCCUGGGAGAGUACGGCCGCAAGGCUAAAACUCAAAUGAAUUGACGG
rnacentral:rRNA from 1 species